rnacentral:rRNA from 1 species
AAAUAGGUUAGCUUCGAACUAAAAGUAGGAUUUGCCACUAACAUUAAAGCCUAUAAAUUAAAGGCCGUCCUUUGUUAGGGGACUUAAGGUUUUCCUAAAAGCAAAGCCUAGGAAUCAAGGCAAUUCUAUGAUGUAGGAUCCAACGGAAUUUUCCUGCUCAAAGAGUUUAAUUCUAGCUUAAAAACACUCUUCCCCUAUAUGAAACUUGAAAAAUGGAUUUAAGGCUUUCAAUAAGUAAAAUUGGGAAUAAGCUAAUCUUGACCCAGGAAGAAAGAGGNCUAAGGCNCAAGUAACCAGGCAGCCGCGGUCAGACCUGAACUAAUUUGUAAAUUUCGAUAGGGGAGAGAAUUAACUAGGUACCUUAUUAAUCUAAAAGUAUAAUUUAAAGAUUAAUUCUUUCAAUAACAUCUCCUAAAAGGGAUCAAGCAAAAGGAUUAGAUACCCUUGUACUCACCCCCAGCUAACCCCAAGGUACUAAAUGAGAUAACCAUCAAACCUAAAGAAUGUGGCGGCCCCAAGACACCCAGAGAGACCUGAAUUUUAAUAAGACAGUCCACUCCAUUUUUACUUUCGGUUUAAGGUUGUAUACCGUCGUCUAAGUUGGCUCUGGAGAGGAAUCUAAUCUAUUUAUUUAAAAAUGUCAGAUCUAGGCACACUAGGCCGAAAGAAAAUUUGGGUUUCAGUAAGUUUUAAAGAUAAUUUAAGACAAACAUCUUAAAAGAAAAGAAUUUGACAUCAGGGAGAGUUUAAUCACCUCUCCCCAAUUCUGUUUUGGAGUGUACAAAUCGCCCGUCAUUCUCCUUUGGAGAUAAGUCGUAACAUAGUAGGUGU